CGGAAUUACUGGGCGUAAAGCGUGCGUAGGCGGCUUGAUAAGCCGGUUGUGAAAGCCCCGGGCUCAACCUGGGAACGGCAUCCGGAACUGUUAGGCUAGAGUGCAGGAGAGGAAGGUAGAAUUCCCGGUGUAGCGGUGAAAUGCGUAGAGAUCGGGAGGAAUACCAGUGGCGAAGGCGGCCUUCUGGACUGACACUGACGCUGAGGUACGAAAGCGUGGGUAGCAAACAGGAUUAGAUACCCUGGUAGUCCACGCCGUAAACGAUGUCGACUAGCCGUUGGGGUCCUCGAGACCUUUGUGGCGCAGUUAACGCACUAAGUCGACCGCCUGGGGAGUACGGCCGCAAGGUUAAAACUCAAAUGAAUUGACGGGGGCCCGCACAAGCGGUGGAGCAUGUGGUUUAAUUCGAUGCAACGCGAAGAACCUUACCUACCCUUGACAUCGUGCGAACUUUCCAGAGAUGGAUUGGUGCCUUCGGGAGCGCACAGACAGGUGCUGCAUGGCUGUCGUCAGCUCGUGUUGUGAAAUGUUGGGUUAAGUCCCGUAACGAGCGCAACCCUUGUCCCUAUUUGCCAGCGAUUCGGUCGGGAACUCUAGGGAGACUGCCGGUGACAAACCGGAGGAAGGUGGGGACGACGUCAAGUCAUCAUGGCCCUUACGGGUAGGGCUACACACGUGCUACAAUGGCCGGUACAAUGGGUUGCAAAGCGGCGACGUGGAGCUAAUCUCAUAAAGCCGGUCUCAGUCCGGAUCGGAGUCUGCAACUCGACUCCGUGAAGUCGGAAUCGCUAGUAAUCGUGCAUCAGAAUGGCACGGUGAAUACGUUCCCGGGCCUUGUACACACCGCCCGUCACACCAUGGGAGUGGACUGCACCAGAAGUGGUUAGCCUAA
rnacentral:rRNA from 1 species